rfam:Triticum aestivum genome assembly, contig: Triticum_aestivum_CS42_TGACv1_scaffold_544143_6DS
AAUCUACUCCCUCUGUUCGGAAUUACUUGUCUCGGAAAUGGAUGUAAAGUUCUAGAUAUAUUCAUUUUCGAGACAAGUAAUUCCGAACGGAGGGAGUACUAU